UACGUAGGGUGCAAGCGUUACUCGGAAUUACUGGGCGUAAAGCGUGCGCAGGCGGUUGUGCAAGACCGAUGUGAAAUCCCCGGGCUUAACCUGGGAAUUGCAUUUGUGACUGCACAGCUAGAGUGUGUCAGAGGGGGGUAGAAUUCCACGUGUAGCAGUGAAAUGCGUAGAUAUGUGGAGGAAUACCGAUGGCGAAGGCAGCCCCCUGGGAUAACACUGACGCUCAUGCACGAAAGCGUGGGGAGCAAACGGG
rnacentral:rRNA from 1 species